rnacentral:rRNA from 1 species
ACCAUGCGGAGGGUCAUUACCCAAAUAUGAAGGCAGGUCUGGCACCUCCCGGGGUUCCAGGCUUGUUGAAUUCUUCACCCUUGUCUUUUGCGUACUUCUUGUUUCCUUGGGGGGUUCACCCCCCACUAAGACAAAAUAAACCUUUUGUAAUUGCAAUCAGCGUCCUUAACAAAUUAAAACUUACAACUUUCAACAACGGAUCUCUUGGUUCUGGCUGCGAUGAAGAACGCGACGAGAUGCGAUCAGUGAUGUGAAUUGCCUAAUUCAGCGCAUCAUCCCAUCUGUGAACGCACGUUGCGCCCUUUGGCAUUCCAAAGGGGAUGCCUGUUCGACCGUCAUUUGUACCCUCUAGCUUUGCUUGGCGUUGGGCGUAUUGUCUCUAGCUUUGCUGGAAACUCGCCUUAUAAUAUUUGACCGCCGGCCUACUGGUUUCUGAGCGCCGCACAAGUCACACUCUCUAUCAGCAAAGGUCUAGCAUCCAUUAAGACUUUUUUUCAACUUUUGACCUCGUAUCACGUAUGGAUACCCGCAGAACUAAAAAAUAUCAAUAAUCGGAGGAAAAGAAACCAACGGGGAUUGACCUAUUAACGUUAAAUGAAGCGGCAACAGCUCAAAUUUAAACUCUGGCUCUUUUACAGUCCGAGUUGUAGUUUGCAGAGGGCGCUUUGGCUUUGGACCGGUCCAAGUUCCUUGGAACAGGACGUCACCGAUGGUGAGAAUCGCGUACGCGCCCUCUGGCUAUUCGCCGUGAAAGCCCUGCCGACCCAUCGAGGAGUUUAAUAUGUCUCACUAAAUGUCAGGGACAUAUCUUCAAACCUAAAUAUUGGACUGAUACCGAUAGCGCACCACUUUAGUGAUAGAGUGAUGAACGCUUUUAGUAAUUAGAGAGAAACCGCAUGCAACCUGUUGAGUGGAGUAGCUUGCCCCGUACUUGCUUACUGUUGUCCUCCGGGUUUCGACCCGGUGCACUCGUCUGAUGCAGACAGCAUCAGCUAGGGAAGUACGAUAAGGUCUCUGUCACGUCCAUCCUACCGGGACGCCUCAGAGGGAGACACGUACUACCGAUCGAAACUGACGUCUGCUCUGCAGAUGUCGUGAAAAAGCCAGCAUGGCGCUUUAAAACCCGGU